AAUACAAAAGCCACAUUCAAAUACAGCCAAAACUUAAGACUUUGGCGUACUCGCUUAUCUUUAUAAACAUUUUUUUAAAGUACAUUAAUAUUAUUUGCGCAGUCAAAAAUACAUACUAUAUAUGGGUAAUACAUAUACAAAUACAAAGUUGAACCCAUUUAUGUAAUCACGGUAGCAUCAACGAUAGUUACAGGGAAUCUUAAUCAAUUGACUUGAUACGGUGCGAGUGGAUAGCACUUAGCAGAUUAGUCGAAUGAUUUCGCAAAGACCUCGCGACUGAAGUGUGUGGUCUUAAAUUAAAGUUUUUUUCAUUCUGGCACUCAAAAUUAUUAAAAUCCAACAGAAAUACCCACACAAUUUUUAUUGUACAGUAUUGUACAGCCACACAGUUGUAUGGCAGCUCUAAUUGGUAACUCGUGAGAUCAAGUAUAAUCAAAUUAGUGCUCAAAACAUUGAAAAUAAUAAAAGACUUGUGCAAUUUUCAUAAAAAUUGCAUAAUAACCCUGCAAUAACCUCUGCUCAUUCAUUCAUGUGUGCGUUAUAUAAAAUAGAUAAUAGCGAAUUUUUCACCUGUUAUUACAAGAAAUGAGUAUCUUUAUAAAACCAUGAAAGAUGGUCACAUAAAAAUAUUGAAAUCCAUUAAUUCGCCCGAGAAGUUAGUAAACCAUUUGCGUGAUAAAGAUGUUCAAUUUUACACCUACCAAAUGAAUCAGAAAAUACUACUAUUAAACAACGUCCAGUUGGUAACAUCAAAGUCGGUGUUGAAAAGUUGGAGCGCUAUACCUACAUUGUAUAUCGUAAAUUUACUAAAAACCCAAUGAAAAUAUUCUAGACAGAAUAAAACGAUGUACGACCUGAAACACUUCGAUCAUGUAGUUGGAGUUGGAGCUGCUUUAAAAACCAGAGACAUCCUCCUGAGUGUCAAGGUUUUCAACACAAGAGCUUAUUGCACAAAGCAAGUCAAAUGUGUUAAAUAUGGCUUAAAUUAUUUAAUUAAAUACUACAAUAAAAGUAACCCACACAAAAUAUGUCAAUCGGUUACAAAAUCACCUGGGCAAUUAUAAACGUUGUUCCAUACACCAAUAGCUUCUUAAAAGAAACUUCAAACUUCUACAUCACCCAGUUCAGGGCAGAAUAAGCGUGACAAUAAUUAUUCCUUCAAACAAGAAGGCCCUUUGCUGAAUAGGCAACUCCCAAUCACACAUAAUACUGAUAUGGUUAAUGGUAAUAAUAGUCUUCAUAAUUGCCACUACACCGAUAGAGUGAAAAAUACAAAUCCGUCUUCAAAAAUUGCAAUUUUGAUUAAAAAGCAGAACAAGUCAUUAGCCGAAUUUAAACUACAAAAUAACUUAAUU